AGAGCUUGAUCCUGGCUCAGAGUGAACGCUGGCGGCGUGCUUAACACAUGCAAGUCGAACGAGAACGGUACUAGCUUGCUAGUAUGUCAGCUAAGUGGCGGACGGGUGAGUAAUGUAUAGUUAAUCUGCCCUUUAGAGGGGGAUAACAGUUGGAAACGACUGCUAAUACCCCAUACUCCUUUCUACUUAAUGUAGAUUGGGAAACGUUUUUUCGCUAAAGGAUGAGACUAUAUGGUAUCAGGUAGUUGGUGGGGUAAGAGCCCACCAAGCCAAUGACGCCUAGCUGGUCUGAGAGGAUGAUCAGCCACACUGGAACUGAGACGCGGUCCAGACUCCUACGGGAGGCAGCAGUGGGGAAUAUUGCACAAUGGAGGAAACUCUGAUGCAGCAACGCCGCGUGGAGGAUGACGCAUUUCGGUGUGUAAACUCCUUUUAUAUGGGAAGAUAAUGACGGUACCAUAUGAAUAAGCACCGGCUAACUCCGUGCCAGCAGCCGCGGUAAUACGGAGGGUGCAGGCGUUACUCGGAAUCACUGGGCGUAAAGCGCGCGCAGGCGGCCUUUUAAGUUGGAUGUGAAAGCCUACGGCUCAACCGUAGGACUGCAUCCAAAACUAUCAGGCUAGAGUGUGGGAGAGGAAGAUGGAAUUAGUUGUGUAGGGGUAAAAUCCGUAGAGAUAACUAGGAAUACCAAAAGCGAAGGCAAUCUUCUGGAACAUUACUGACGCUGAGGCGCGAAAGCGUGGGGAGCAAACAGGAUUAGAUACCCUGGUAGUCCACGCCCUAAACGAUGAAUGUUAGUCGUCGGGUAGCUAGUCUAUUCGGUGAUGCAGCUAACGCAUUAAACAUUCCGCCUGGGGAGUACGGUCGCAAGAUUAAAACUCAAAGGAAUAGACGGGGACCCGCACAAGUGGUGGAGCAUGUGGUUUAAUUCGAAGAUACGCGAAGAACCUUACCUAGCCUUGACAUAUAUUAGAACACCCUAGAGAUAGAGUGGUGCCUUCGGGAGCUUUUAUACAGGUGCUGCACGGCUGUCGUCAGCUCGUGUCGUGAGAUGUUGGGUUAAGUCCCGCAACGAGCGCAACCCUCGUCACUAGUUACUAACGGUUCGGCCGAGGACUCUAGUGAGACUGCCUUCGUAAGGAGGAGGAAGGUGAGGACGACGUCAAGUCAUCAUGGCCCUUACGGCUAGGGCAACACACGUGCUAC
rnacentral:rRNA from 1 species